AUCAUGAGAUUAAAAUUUUGAGUUAAUGAAUAUUCUGAAAUGUCUUUUUCAUUUUUCUAACAUGGUUCUGAGUUUAUAGCAGAGUAAUAUAUAAUCUGAUUAAAACGAACGUUGUUGCGGCACGGAGCUAUGAUAAAUUGAUGAUAAUUAGUGACAAAAAACUAAAAUGAUAUAAUUGAAGUAUUACAAAUCGUAAUUUUUCUAGAAGAUGAAGGAAGUUUGCAUGGGAAGCAAUCUUAAUUUGAGGUGUU
rnacentral:sRNA from 1 species